rnacentral:lncRNA from 1 species
CUUUCUUAUAAUGAUGAAUGAAUGAAAUAAACAAUGAAGGUAUCAACAAAAGCAGAAAUGUGCACAACAUUGGGGAAUCUUUAAUUCAUAUAAAGUUUGAGCAAACACACAGUCAAGCAAGGACAAAUAAUAUAAAACAUAGUUGUUUAUAAAAGACUGAUGGUUAUUCAAUCAGAUUCAUUUUUAUCACAGCCAUUGUCAAGUCAAUGCCAUAUAUAAUAUGGUUAAUCAGCAGUCCAACUCUGCUCAACAAUCUCACGCACUCUUCUGUUGUAUUCGCGCUUGUUUUCGCUGAACAUCCGAGCAGCUUCAGAGUUUGCUGGUGAGUUUGGGUUUGGAUCACACAACAAUGACUACAAAAAAAAAAAAAAAAAAAAAAGUUAAUGUCCAUCGAAAAACAGGAAUAAAUCCAGAUUUACUAAAUCAUAAACAGGAAGAAGAAAAAAAACAGUUAACUUCAAUUGUAAAACAAGAAUAUAUCCAUAGUUACUACAUGACAUGUAUGUUUUUCUUUGAUAUAAAUUAUUUUAAGGAUCAUCAACAAAAUGAACAAACAUAUCACAAGUUGGUAAUAGAAAUGCAUGACAUUACCAGAAGUUCAAAUUAAGUAAAAAUGAGUUGGAAGCAUAAACUAUAUGCAACAACAGUUCAGAAAGUUGUAAAGCUGCUGUGAAACAUGUAGAUGAGGACCUAAUGGAACACAGCAUUACUUCCACUGUGGUGAAAGUUCCUACCCCAUGGAAACAUUUGUGUGUAUCUAAGUAAUUUAUGAAAUUUAGUUAUUUAGUGUUCGGUUGGGGGAAAGUAGAGAUUACUUUAAAGCUUUCUUGUUUGGUUCAUUGUUUUGGAGGGGAGAGAAACAAAACCCUCCCGACUCAAUUUUGGCUCCCUUCUAAUAUAAGUGAUGUUUUAAUCGGCAUAAGAAGGCUUUAUAAAAAUGGCAGUAUUUUUUCACAUUUUCAGGGAGCAAAGCAACUAUGAAAAAAAUGAAACUAUGCAAAUUGAUGGGCAGACUACAAUCAAAUCAUUUACCAAUUAUUUCAUUAAAACAACUCUGAAUUAUCAAGUGAAUCACAAUUACCUGGAUUGAGGUAAGUAUUGCAGCUACAUCAUAAAUUGGACUCCACUGAUUUUGUAAAAUAUCCAAGCAUAUACUUCCAUCUGCAUAAACUGAAAUUGCCAAGCGAAAAGGGUCAAAGAAAGUACAUUUGAAGUCAUUAUCAUCAUUAUCAUGCUAAUCAAAGAAAAUUUUAGAUCAAUACAAAAUUGAUUUCCACUCCAAUUCAAUUUUAGAUAUAAUAUGCUUUUAAAGAAAAUUACAGCACCAGGAUGCUCUUUCCAUUUACUCUAUAUAAAGAAAAUUAAAAUAUUCACCACUUAAUCAGAUUCUAUCUGGCAAAUAUUCACCACUUAAUCAGAUUCUAUCUGGCAAAUAUUCACAAAUUUGGUAAGAUUUAACUAUGUUUGAUUCAGCGGUUAUAUUGUUUUAAAAUUAGUUUCCACAUCAAGUUUUUUUUUUUAACCAACAUCAGGUUGUUAAAUGGUACUAGUAUGUCAAUUAUCACACAACUGUCAAGAUAGAAACCGUUUAAUAAUCACUAAAUACAUAACAUACAAGAAAUUUCAAGUUUUCUACUUUGAAGAUAUCAAUACCAAAAAAGAGAAGGGUUUAGAUACAAGCAAGGUUGUCAAACUUGAAAGAGUUAUAUAAAGUCAUAAAAUCUUAAUAGACUUGACUCUUAAUACUAAUUAACACAUUUAUCACAGUAUCCAACAACAAAGACAAUAAACCAAGUUGCUUGGGCUCCAGUGGCAAGGAGCUCCUUCCAAGUACGUACCCGGGGAAUACCGUGUUCGAUUCCCAGGGAGAACAACGCUUGGCCAGUGUUCAUGCCUCUAAGCACGAGCAGGAUUAGUCGUCCACCUUUGGUGGAUCGGAAACUGGUGCGAAAGCCAAAAAAAAAAAAAAUGACAAUAAUACCCACAAACCAGAAAGGACUGGUCCCGACUAAACCAGAAUACACAGAUAGUAUCAUAAUUUAAAGAUAGAUAAAUUCACAAAUCUUGAGAUAGGCUAUAAGACAAAAAAUAAUAACAGAGGGUCAAAAUCAAUCGACAAUCGGCAAAGUGCAAGACUCAGAAUUACCAACAUAAGACAAACAAAAAAAAAAGGGUUGAAAAUCAAUGGACAAAUCAGCAAACCGCAAGACCAAAAUUAGCAACAAUUGAAAGAUGGUAGGCUUGGAUUCCCUUCAUUGGAGCUUGAUUCAGCUCAGCAGAUCUAGGUUUCAUCAGAGUUGGGUUCAUUGCAAUCUUGCGAUGGGCUCAUUGGUUCCUAGUUAGUGACUUUGUUCUGAUAGACUACUUGAUAUGAGAAUUCAUGCUAGAACAGAAAGAGAUCCCAUCUGACCAGCAAUGAAUCCAAUAGGCUACAUUACAAAAAAAAGGUUCAAACCAUAACACACAAAGAGCAUAAGUUCAAAAUUGAUGGACAAGAGACUCAAAAUUAUAAAACACUACAAAUGAAUAUUGGGCCGACCCCACUUAGUGGGAUAAGGCUUGGUUGUUGUUGUUGUUGUACUAAUGAAUAUUGGGAUUGAGUUCUCCUCAUUGGGGCUAAUUUCAGCACAAUAGAGCUGGGUCUUAGUUCAUCAAAGUUGGGUUCAUUCACCAAGUUGGCCGAUUGGAUUCAUUGCAAACUUGCAGUGAUGAGUUUGUUCAUGUUUACUAGUAUGUGACUUUGUUUAUCCUCUUUUUUGGUGGUGGCCGGGGUUUGAACCCCGGACCUUGCAUAUUUUAUGCAUUGUCCUAACCAACUGAGCUAUGCUCACAAGGACACUUUGUUUAUCCUCUGAGCUAUGGGAGUUGAGGCUCGAUGCCGUACUGUUAACCUAUUUUCAUAUAGGUUGACGUAAAGUGUUAAGAUUGUGAGUCUACCCGAGUUUACACAGAAACGUCUAUUUAAGUGAGAUAACCUAAUUUUGAUACCUAGAGUUGUAAAUGUGUGGGAUUCUGAGUUAGCUCAAGUUUUUGACAACCACGCUAAAAAUUUCAGCAUGCAUUUAAAUGUCUUAAAUAUACAAAAUUAUAUAUUAAAUAAAUAUAAUAAAUUUGAACAAUAUUUCAGGAUGCCGUGUACAAAAUACUAACUAUAAGGGGAAAAGAAGUGUCAACAUUCCAGGAUGCCCUGUCCAAAAUACUAACUAUAAGGGGUAAAGAAGUGUUAUCAAUAGCAGAACUGCGGAAAAUAGAGGAAAGCCAAAAAUCCGCGAUGUGAAAAAUAACAGAUAGCGUUGCGGCCUUGCGGGCAAAAAGCAGAAGGCACAUAGCGGUUGAAACUUGAAAUAAGUUAAUUAUAGAUAAAAAUAAAUAAAUAAAUAAAUAAAUAAAUAAAAAUGUUACAUACAAAUACAAAAGGGAAUGGUGGCAUAGCAUAACUUUAUAUUAAAUAUUGAAAAAUUUACAUAUUAUGGUGGAUACAGGAGACUCAAAAAUUCCAGUUUUUCUAUUAUAAAAAUAGUAUGUUUAACACACAUGCAGGUUCUUCAGCAUAUUAUUUUAAAAAUAUCCUAAAAUUCUCUUUGUUCUGCACUAUUGCCGCUACAUCAGCUAUUAGAAACUGGAAUAGCGGCUACUAUUGCCCUAAUAGGGAAACUAGGAUAGCAUCGCAGUUUUCGUAACAAAUUAAUCAAAUUCCAAUAUACUAUAGCGCCGCAUAUUGACAACACGAGGAAAGUACACAAAGUGUCUCCACUAUCUAUAACCAAAGUUCCAAACCUGACUUAAGAACAAAUGUUUUAUUUUCCAUAUAAAUUAUACGUCAAGAAGAUUUGCAAGGAGAAGAAAACACAACCAAAGAAGUUCUUCAGAAGCUGUUUCAAAAGCAAUUUCCAAAAGCAAAUUUAAACUUGUAGAUUGAAACAGACUUCCCGUUUUUGUUUAAACUUGUUAGUUUUAAUGCAUGACAACGCUCAGGCACUCAAUGUACAAACAAUUGAAAUGAUUGCUAUUCUAACUCCUGAAAGGAAUUGCAAGGUAGUUUUGUACUUACUGUUUGGAUGAAACAUCCGAGAAACAAAGCGCACAGUAGGUGGUUUAUUAGGAUAAUCCUCUGUGAACUGAAGCGUCAACUUGAACGUACCUGAAAAAAUCAAGACAUCCCUUAGAUGAAAAUCCAAAAGUUGGAAGACAAUGUACUACGUAAAACACCAUGACAUGGGUCAGUUUUUGAUAUAUAUCAUUUUUCCCUUUUCUGUCUAUAAGUUGAGAAAUGACCGACACAGACGUACAAGUUUAACUCAUGUCUUUAUGAAUCAAAUAAUAGAAAACACCAAAUUAAACAAAUCAUCAUGUUCCAAUAGACACUUCCAAUAUUUUUAAAUAGCAGUUAUAGUGGUGCUAUAACGUAGCGGAAUUCGAACAAUUUGUUGUUGUUCCGCCUUACGCUAUUUAGUACAAAAUGUAGUCAACUAACGGCUAUAGCAGCGUGAUAGCGCACUGUUGUGUAGCGAAAUUUGAACAAACCGCUUUUGUUUGCAAUUAACAACCCACCCUGCUACCAACAACAUGCAAAUAAAUGUCAUCGUAAUCAAUUAUUUUUUGCCAAGAAUUUGUUAAUUCAUGACAUAUCAAUGCUAUUCAUAUCAAUGUUUAAUAGACAGAUGCUAUUUCCAAGUAGUUAACACAUACUAGAAAAUCAAAAGUAAUUAUUGCUGACAAUGAUUUUUUAGUGAAAAUCUGUUCAUCCACAACAAAUCGAUAAAUGAUAUAUUUCCAAUUUAACAACAUACUAGAAUGUCACAAAUAAUAGUAAAAAAUCUGUUCAUCCACUAUGAAUCAAAGUUUGUUCAUAACAAUGCUUAAAGCAAGAGCUAUUUCCGAGUAGUUAACUGAAAAGUAUCUAAGCAGUUGGGAACCCCUCCCUUAAAAGAUAGCCAUCAAGGGGGAAGAACCAAGCCACAUAAAUACUCCAUUGAGCAUCCUAUACUACUCGAUGUGGGACUUGGGCUGCAAAUAACGCCAAGUAUCCAUCAUUAAGCCGCACACUAGAAAGUUAUAAAUCACAAUUAUAUUAUUAAAUAACAUUACAAAACCAUUUCAGUUUAUAAAGGAAGAGGAUAUGACUGUACCUCCAUCCCAAGGGGUGUCAUCUGGCCUGGAAAAGCACAAAGAAAAGCAUAUUAGAUUGCAAUUACAAAUUUAAUUAUGCAGAAGCUAAAACCAUAAAAUAAAUGGGAAAAUACACAAAAACAGGUUCUAAAAAAAACAUUCGCGGCCGCAAUCAAGGCCACGUCACAACAAUUUUUAUCUUGCCGAAACCGUGACCGCAAUCUAGGCAAAGUCAAAACAAUUUUUAUGUUGCCGAAACUGCAACACAAUCACGGUUAAAGCGGCAUCGGUCACAUUCAAUUGCACAAACAUAAGGAAAAAUAUUAUGAAUAGAGUAAACUUCCACACACCCAAAUAUCACAGCAUUCCAAAGCAUGAUAUUGUUGUCUUGGGGAGCCCCACUGAUGCCAGCAGGAGGAUCCUGUUGCAACCUCUUAAAAUCCCUCAUCAGUCUCUUCCUAGCAGGAGUCGACAUCCUCGCCACCUAAACCAAACAUCACAAAAGAAUAGUAAUCAGUCAAUAUGAUUACAAACACCACAAAAUUUAAAAACAGAUUGAAUAAGAAGAAUUUAAAAACAUAGUAAAGAAUACAUCACAGCUUCAACUUUAAAAACAGAUUGCAAACACCACAAAAUAUGAAGUUUUAGAUCUUCUCAACUUAAAAUUUGACCAAAUAACAACUUAUUUUCCCAAAGUUUAACAGUUAUCAAACCAUCAAUAAUUCAAUAGCAAACUCCACAAAAUUUUCCAUAUCCAAACACAACAAUACAAACUCAAUUCAAAGUGUUAAAACUCACACAAAUCACAAAUAGUUCUUUAUUAUCCAUCAAUGAGUUAAAACAUGAAUUCUUUCAAAGUUCACACAAUCUAAAACAACAAAUAGUGUUAACCUAUUUCAUAUUUUCAUGCUUUCCAAACACCUAAAAAAAUAUAAAAUCAAAUCAAAUAAAAAAUCAAAAUUUUCCAAAGAUCAAUUAAGCCUAAUCACAACAACCACAAGCUUAAAUUUUAGCAAAUAACCUAGAUCCAACCCUUCAUUUCUAACCACAACACAAACCUAACAAAAAUAAUAACUAGCAUAAAAAAAAUACCAACAAAAAAAUAAUGGGAUUAUGAAAUCAAACACCAAUUAAUUAACAUGGGUAUGAAUUGAUUUCAUGAAAAUCAAUUAAAAUCAAAUAAAAAUCAAAUUUUUAAAAAAUAAAAAUAAAAAAAUUGAAGAGAGAGAAAGAGAGAGAGGUUCUGACUUGCGAGUGGAGAAGGGUGAGAGAGGUGAAGAAGAGUCAGA